rnacentral:rRNA from 1 species
CAGCCGCCACGGUAAUACGAGGGGGGCUAGCGUUGCUCGGAAUGACUGGGCGUAAAGGGCGCGUAGGCGGCGAUCAAAGUCAGGCGUGAAAUUCCUGGGCUCAACCUGGGGGCUGCGCUUGAUACUUGGUUGCUUGAGUGGGGAAGAGGGUCGUGGAAUUCCCAGUGUAGAGGUGAAAUUCGUAGAUAUUGGGAAGAACACCGGUGGCGAAGGCGGCGACCUGGUCCUUGACUGACGCUGAGGCGCGAAAGCGUGGGGAGCAAACAGGAUUAGAUACCCCCGUAGUCCCUGUCUCUUAUAU